UACGUAGGGGGCUAGCGUUGUCCGGAAUCAUUGGGCGUAAAGCGCGCGUAGGCGGCCCGGUAAGUCCGCUGUAAAAGUCAAAGGCUCAACCUUUGAAUGUCAGUGGAUACUGCCGGGCUAAAGUCCGGAAGAGGCGAGUGGAACUCCUGGUGUAGCGGUGGAAUGCGCAGAUAUCAGGAAGAACACCGACGGCGAAGGCAGCUCGCUGGGACGGUACUGACGCUGAGGCGCGAAAGCAUGGGGAGCGAACAGG
rnacentral:rRNA from 1 species